UGGCGUGGCAGCUUAUGUGCGUGCAGACAGACGCCCUGUAUGUGUGCCUCCCUCCACGACAGCCUCCGUGCGCGCGCGCCUGCGUGUGUGGCAGGACAUGGCCUGUGCCUUUCAGCUCUGUGAGAGGCUAUUUCUGGGUGCUGGCUGCAUCCAGAUGUUGGCUGCCAGGGAUCUGGGGGGCAGCCUUGUGGCUUCUGGUCGACUUGGGAUCUGCUC
rnacentral:lncRNA from 10 species